rnacentral:rRNA from 1 species
AAGAUUGAAAGCUGGCGUCUUCGGCGUCCGCAUUGUAAUCUCAAGAAGUGUUUUCCGCUUCGGACCAUGCCUAAGUCCCCUGGAAAGGGGCAUCAUAAAGGGAGAUAAUCCCGUACAUGGCAUGGAGCGCCCGAAGCUUUGUGAUACGCUUUCUAAGAGUCGAGUUGUUUGGGAAUGCAGCUCAAAAUGGGUGGUAAAUGCCAUCUAAGGCUAAAUAUUGGGGAGAGACCGAUAGCGAACAAGUACAGUGAUGGAAAGAUGAAAAGAACUUUGAAAAGAGAGUUAAACAGUACGUGAAAUUGCCAAAAGGGAAGGGUAGGAGGUCAGAGAUGCGGCCUGGGAUUCAGCCUUGCUUUUGCUUGGUGUUUUUCCCAGAUUGCAGGCCAACGUCGGUUUUGGGCACUGGAGAAGGGUAGGAGGAACGUGGCACCUCUCGGGGUGUGUUAUAGCCUCCUACUGGAUACAGCGACCGAGACCGAUGACAGCAGCGUACUCGCAAGAGCGGGCCUUCGGGCACCUUUACGCUUAGGGCGUUGGCAUAAUGGCCCUCUACCACCCGUCUUGAAACACAGAC